rnacentral:rRNA from 1 species
AUAUCAAUAAGCGGAGGAAAAGAAACCAACAGGGAUUACCUCAGUAACGGCGAGUGAAGCGGUAACAGCUCAAAUUUGAAAUCUGGCCCUUGGGUCCGAGUUGUAAUUUGUAGAAGAUGCUUUGGGUGUGGCUCCGGUCUAAGUUCCUUGGAACAGGUCGUCAUAGAGGGUGAGAAUCCCGUAUGCGACUGGCUGCCUUCGCCCGUGUAAAGCUCUUUCGACGAGUCGAGUUGUUUGGGAAUGCAGCUCUAAUUGGGUGGUAAAUUUCAUCUAAAGCUAAAUACAUGCCAGAGACCGAUAGCGCACAAGUAGAGUGAUCGAAAGAUGAAAAGCACUUUGGAAAGAGAGUUAAACAGUACGUGAAAUUGUUGAAAGGGAAGCGCUUGCGACCAGACUCGGGCGCCGCUGAUCAGUCCGGGUUCUCCCGGCGGCACUCGGCGGCGUCUGGGCCAGCAUCGGUUCUGGUGGCUGGAUAAAGGCCUUGGGAAUGUAGCUCCCUUCGGGGAGUGUUAUAGCCCUCGGUGCAAUGCAGCCCACCGGGACCGAGGACCGCGCUUCGGCUAGGAUGCUGGCGUAAUGGUCGUAAGCGACCCGUCUUGAAACACGGACCAAGGAGUCUAACAUCUAUGCGAGUGUUUGGGUGUCAAACCCAUACGCGAAAUGAAAGUGAACGUAGGUGAGAACCCGUCUGGGUGCAUCAUCGACCGAUCCUGAUGUCUUCGGAUGGAUUUGAGUAAGAGCAUAGCUGUUGGGACCCGAAAGAUGGUGAACUAUGCCUAAAUAGGGUGAAGCCAGAGGAAACUCUGGUGGAGGCUCGCAGCGGUUCUGACGUGCAAAUCGAUCGUCAAAUUUGGGUAUAGGGGCGAAAGACUAAUCGAACCAUCUAGUAGCUGGUUCCUGC